CGGGCUUAACACAUGCAAGUCGAGGGGCAGCAUGGUCUUAGCUUGCUAAGGCCGAUGGCGACCGGCGCACGGGUGAGUAACACGUAUCCAACCUGCCGUCUACUCUUGGACAGCCUUCUGAAAGGAAGAUUAAUACAAGAUGGCAUCAUGAGUCCACAUGUUCACAUGAUUAAAGGUAUUCCGGUAGACGAUGGGGAUGCGUUCCAUUAGAUAGUAGGCGGGGUAACGGCCCACCUAGUCUUCGAUGGAUAGGGGUUCUGAGAGGAAGGUCCCCCACAUUGGAACUGAGACACGGUCCAAACUCCUACGGGAGGCAGCAGUGAGGAAUAUUGGUCAAUGGGCGAGAGCCUGAACCAGCCAAGUAGCGUGAAGGAUGACUGCCCUAUGGGUUGUAAACUUCUUUUAUAAAGGAAUAAAGUCAGGUAUGCAUACCCGUUUGCAUGUACUUUAUGAAUAAGGAUCGGCUAACUCCGUGCCAGCAGCCGCGGUAAUACGGAGGAUCCGAGCGUUAUCCGGAUUUAUUGGGUUUAAAGGGAGCGUAGAUGGAUGUUUAAGUCAGUUGUGAAAGUUUGCGGCUCAACCGUAAAAUUGCAGUUGAUACUGGAUAUCUUGAGUGCAGUUGAGGCAGGCGGAAUUCGUGGUGUAGCGGUGAAAUGCUUAGAUAUCACGAAGAACUCCGAUUGCGAAGGCAGCCUGCUAAGCUGCAACUGACAUUGAGGCUCGAAAGUGUGGGUAUCAAACAGGAUUAGAUACCCUGGUAGUCCACACGGUAAACGAUGAAUACUCGCUGUUUGCGAUAUACUGCAAGCGGCCAAGCGAAAGCGUUAAGUAUUCCACCUGGGGAGUACGCCGGCAACGGUGAAACUCAAAGGAAUUGACGGGGGCCCGCACAAGCGGAGGAACAUGUGGUUUAAUUCGAUGAUACGCGAGGAACCUUACCCGGGCUUAAAUUGCAGAUGAAUUACGGUGAAAGCCGUAAGCCGCAAGGCAUCUGUGAAGGUGCUGCAUGGUUGUCGUCAGCUCGUGCCGUGAGGUGUCGGCUUAAGUGCCAUAACGAGCGCAACCCUUGUUGUCAGUUACUAACAGGUUCUGCUGAGGACUCUGACAAGACUGCCAUCGUAAGAUGUGAGGAAGGUGGGGAUGACGUCAAAUCAGCACGGCCCUUACGUCCGGGGCUACACACGUGUUACAAUGGGGGGUACAGAGGGCCGCUACCACGCGAGUGGAUGCCAAUCCCAAAAACCUCUCUCAGUUCGGACUGGAGUCUGCAACCCGACUCCACGAAGCUGGAUUCGCUAGUAAUCGCGCAUCAGCCACGGCGCGGUGAAUACGUUCCCGGGCCUUGUACACACCGCCCGUCAAGCCAUGGGAGCCGGGGGUACCUGAAGUGCGUAACCGCGAGGAGCGCCCUAGGGUAAAACUGGUGACUGGGG
rnacentral:rRNA from 1 species